ACUGACAGCCAUGGUUACCGCGGCUGCUGGCACGGAGUUAGCCGGUGCUUCUUCUGUGAGUGAUGUCCUUCCUGCCGGCUAUUAACCCGCAGGCCUUCUUCCUCACUGAAAGUGCUUUACAACCCGAAGGCCUUCUUCACACACGCGGCAUGGCUGGAUCAGGGUUGCCCCCAUUGUCCAAUAUUCCCCACUGCUGCCUCCCGUAGGAGUCUGGGCCGUGUCUCAGUCCCAGUGUGGCUGAUCAUCCUCUCAGACCAGCUACGGAUCGUCGCCUUGGUGAGCCGUUACCUCACCAACCAGCUAAUCCGACAUAGGCUCAUCCGAUAGCGCGAGGCCCGAAGGUCCCCCGCUUUCCCCCGUAGGGCGUAUGCGGUAUUAGCCUGGGUUUCCCCAGGUUAUCCCCCACUACCGGGCAGAUUCCUAUGCAUUACUCACCCGUCCGCCGCUCGCCACCAGGGAGCAAGCUCCCCGUGCUCGCCGCUCGACUUGCAUGUGUUAGGCCUGCCGCCAGCGUUCAAU
rnacentral:rRNA from 1 species